UCAAAGUAUAUAUAAUUUUGAGGUGUGUAAAGUUACAAAAACAUGAAAAUGGUUCAUGUGGGUCUAGCCCUGUUUUCAGUCUAAAUAACAAUGUAUUUAUAGCUUUGUUUAACUAAUAUAGGAAAAUUAAUCUUGGAUGUGAUUUACAUCCUACCUAUUCUGUUUUUAAUUACAUUAUGAUUUAAUUUCUGAUUUAAAUUUUUAGAUAGAAGUACAUUUCUAGAUCUAUGUGAAAUCAUUUGGGUUCAGCAGAACAAUAGACAAUAUAUAAAAUGUAUUAUGCUAUUAUUAUUAUGUUAUUUAUUAGCAUAAUAUAAUUUAUUAUAUUUAUUUUUUCGUAAAGUCUUUAUAGGAAACAUGCCCUUUGUCUUCAUGCUGGGAUUAAGAAAAAACAGAAAGCGUAAAAUACCUCAAGAGGAUGCAGAACAUUACAUUUGUUGUAAAAGUGACAAACCUGCAAGUGCAAUUCAUCAACAAUUACAAAGGAGGAUGAGUUUUCACCACUGAAGCUUUAUUCAGAGGGGAUUUUGUUCUUGAGUACAAGUUUGGGUGCAUGGAUGCAUCGAAAGAAGAUGGGUCUUUAGGGAGACUUGUAAAUGAUGACCACAAAGCUCCUAACUGCAAAAUGAAAAUCAUAUCUUUGCUGUGUGCAACAUACUUCCAGGAGAAGAUAUAACCUACAAUUAUGGAGAUUCUGGUUAUGUCCCAUAAUGUUCUGUCUCCUCACCUGCUUUGGACAACGUGAAGAUGAGUGAUCCUCACAAACAAACUGAGCCACAACAGUCAGACAAAGCAAGAAGAUCAGGGAAUAAGACGGUAACCCUUUCAUUUAGGCACCAGGUAGCCUAUCUAGUGAUAUUUGCUGCUAAGUGAACAGGGCAGAGUAACCAGAACAAGGUAAGACAGACCCUUUGGCAGGUUUAUUUAAAAUGUAAUCUUGUUCUAACUAUAUAACAUCAUACAAUUGUGUCUUAAAGCAAUUUAUUUAAAGAUGAAAGGAUAGCUCAAUUAUGUAUUUUCACAUGCCAGAUAUUCUGGAGUUAAUUCAUACAGUAUGACCAAUAGUAUACAUACAGAUUUUACUAUAAAAGAUUGGUUAAUUACUGGCAAGUGAUAGUUGGACUGCAUAGUUAAUCGUAAAAAGAUGGCGAUCUCGAUUCGAACCCCUGAACGUCGAUGCGUGAACGACAUUUAAAUGACCAUAUUGCAGUUUGGAGUUAUGUUUACUACAAGAUAGGGUUGUGCCGAUUGACACUAGUGUUGUGUAUCGAUGAUAGGGAGAGAUAUCACAGAGAGCUGAGGCCUGACUAUUUUAAAGAUGAUGUUUGGUUCGUUUCACAUUUAUGUAGACCUAUUACAUGUGUUAAAUUCAUUUUUAAAUAAAAGACUUAUUAUUAAUAUU